rnacentral:rRNA from 1 species
GAUGAACGCUGGCGGCGUGCCUAAUACAUGCAAGUCGAGCGAACGGACGAGAAGCUUGCUUCUCUGAUGUUAGCGGCGGACGGGUGAGUAACACGUGGAUAACCUACCUAUAAGACUGGGAUAACUUCGGGAAACCGGAGCUAAUACCGGAUAAUAUUUUGAACCGCAUGGUUCAAAAGUGAAAGACGGUCUUGCUGUCACUUAUAGAUGGAUCCGCGCUGCAUUAGCUAGUUGGUAAGGUAACGGCUUACCAAGGCAACGAUGCAUAGCCGACCUGAGAGGGUGAUCGGCCACACUGGAACUGAGACACGGUCCAGACUCCUACGGGAGGCAGCAGUAGGGAAUCUUCCGCAAUGGGCGAAAGCCUGACGGAGCAACGCCGAGUGAGUGAUGAAGGUCUUCGGAUCGUAAAACUCUGUUAUUAGGGAAGAACAUAUGUGUAAGUAACUGUGCACAUCUUGAUGGUACCUAAUCAGAAAGCCACGGCUAACUACGUG